GGAAGAGGGACAAGAGAUGAAAACGCGUUUAGCAGUAAGGAGUGAAGAGCAGAUGAGUAAAGGGGAGCACAGAUGCCAGAAGUAAAUUGGAACACAUUUCCAGAGAUGAGUGGAGCAUGAGUAAGAGAAGUUACGACAAAAAGAGGAUUAUCAGAAGUGCUGUCGCUCUUCUUCCACUUGACACCAUCACUACCCUCCUCACCUGGCCUUCAUCCUCACCUAUAUUGCUUUCUUUCAAAGUUUCUAUUUUACCUGUUAAGGAUAAUUUUUGUAUAAAUAAAAAUGCAUGAAUUAAUAAAUUGUUCUUGUUU